UACGUAGGGUGCGAGCGUUAAUCGGAAUUACUGGGCGUAAAGAGCGUGUAGGCGGCCAGGUAGGUCUGCUGUGAAAACUCGAGGCUCAACCUCGAGACGUCGGCGGAAACCAUCUGGCUAGAGUCCGGAAGAGGAGAGUGGAAUUCCUGGUGUAGCGGUGAAAUGCGCAGAUAUCAGGAAGAACACCCGUGGCGAAGGCGGCUCUCUGGGACGGUACUGACGCUGAGACGCGAAAGCGUGGGGAGCGAACAGG
rnacentral:rRNA from 1 species